GAUGAACGCUAGCUACAGGCUUAACACAUGCAAGUCGAGGGGCAGCAUGCUGGUAGCUUGCUACCAGUGAUGGCGACCGGCGCACGGGUGAGUAACGCGUAUCCAACCUUCCCAUGACCAGGGAAUAACCUUGCGAAAGUAAGACUAAUGCCCUAUGGUUUCCUCAGCGGACAUCCAAAGAGGAAUAAAGAUUCAUCGGUGAUGGAUGGGGAUGCGUCUGAUUAGGUUGUUGGCGGGGUAACGGCCCACCAAGCCAUCGAUCAGUAGGGGUUCUGAGAGGAACGGUCCCCCACAUUGGAACUGAGACACGGUCCAA
rnacentral:rRNA from 1 species